AUUGAACGCUGGCGGCAGGCCUAACACAUGCAAGUCGAGCGGAUGAAGGGAGCUUGUUCCUGGAUUCAGCGGUGGACGGGUAAGUAAUGCCUAGGCAUAAGCAUGGUAGUGGGGGAUAACGUCCGGCAGCGGGCGCUAAUACCUCAUACGUCAUGCGGGCGAAAGUGGGGGUUCUUCGGACCUCACGCUAUCAGAUGAGACGAGGUCGGUUUGGCUAGUUGGUGGGGUAAUGGCCUACCAUGGCGACGAUCCGUAACUGGCCCGAGGGGAUGAUCAGGAAAACUGGAACGUGAACAGGGUCCGGAUUCCUACGGGAGGAGCCAGUGGGGAAUAUUGGACAAUGGGCGAAAGCCUGAUCCAGCCAGGCCGCUUGGGGGAAAAGGGUCUUGGGUUGGUAAAGCACGUUAAGUUGGGAGGAAGGGCAGUAAGUGAAUACCUAGCUGGAUUGACGGUACCAACAGAAUAAGCAACGGCUAACUACGUG
rnacentral:rRNA from 1 species